rnacentral:lncRNA from 1 species
CACCGCCGCGGCCCGGGUUCGAUUCCCGGUCAGGGAAACACGUCUUUUUCUAAUCCGAUCACCUAAAAUUCUUUUGAGUUAUCAUACUAGUUUUAUUCCAUCAUAAAAGUUGAAUUCGUGUUUGAAUGUUGUUUAAUCUGAGAUUUAAAAUAUGCCUUUUCCGCCCAGGUACAGCGGCUGGUUCCUUCCGUGUGCCACCGAGCUCCCUGGAGGAGGGAUGCCGGGGGGUGGGGGGGGGGAGGGGGGGGGUGGGGGGGGGGGGGGGGGGGGGGGGGGGGGGGGGGGGGGUGGGAGGUGGGGGUGGGGACGGCACAGAGGAGGCUGUAGACACCGGGUUCCUCCUGCUGGAGCACCUGGUGAGACGCCGUACCCAGAUCGGGACUGCAGAGCUGGAAGGGAGCAAGGUGAAAGCUUCAGGAACUGAAAUAAUCUCUUCUAGGCUUCAUCGAAGAAGGAGAGAUAUGUGCAUAAUUUCUACAGCAUCAAAAAAAAAAGUUUCAUUGAGGUAGGUACAGAGGAUUUACCAUCAGGAAGCAUGUGUAUGCUUAAUCAUGUAUGCAUGUGAUGUUUUAAAAACCCUCUACAAACAUUUUUGAGUUAUAAAAUGUAUGACACAUUCUAGCUUAUUAUCCUAGGUUCAGUUUACUAUUAUUUGGAGUUCUUGUAUUUGCACUUUUCUUCCAAGAACAUGGUUGAGAAUAAAAGGCAGAGGAAACUGAUCACUUCCUGUCUCCAAAUAACGUCAUACCCGCCUAUGCUUAAUUGAUUUACAAGCUCAGAUAAAUGUUAUUUUCAGGCAAGCUGUGAAUUAUAUUAAAUGACUCUGAAAGAGAAAAAGAAAAGCCACGGCUUAAGUUGUUAGUGAAGGAAGGCCUUGCUUGAAAUUCAUGUCAACCUUCUAUUCUGCAAAGCAACUCAUCCACAUAAAAAUAGUCAAAAAGGACUUCAUUUAAUUAGUGAUAUGUAGACUUUUGCAUAGAAAAAAGGUUACAAAGUAAUGCAAAAAAAAAACUAGGUACAGUAAUUUUAAAACAAAUAUUUAAAAAAGUAUAAUUUUGCAUAAUGUUUAACAUUCUCAUAAUGUUUAUUGCUUUCUCCACACAGCAGAGAAAUGAAGUGCAUAAUUAUACAUGCUGUGUCUUUAUCUUUCAAACAUAAAAUCUCACGUGCUCAAUUUCAAUGUAUUAAGAGAUUAUUUUGUCAUUAAACAAAAUAAAAAAGAAAAACACCACUAUGUAGCACUAGUCUAGGCAUGAACAAAAAUAAUUUAUGUACAUCCCAUUGUAUACAUUCACCUUGAUUUGGGAUCAAAUGCAAUCAUGAGCUUGACAAAGAGCAUUUUUUAAAAAUCGUGGCUUUUCUCUUCCCAAUGCUCUCUCCCUGUCUCAUCACCUCCAGAAAUGCAACCUUUCCCAAAGGGUGACAAGAAUAGAUAUUACACAUUAUCAGGACAAAAUGAAGAGGAUAAAUAUGUAAAAAUAGUCCAAAUGAAACAAUAAAUUAAACUUUUACAAACUGGAGAAUUUUCAAGUUGGCCUGAAUCAAAUAGCUUCAGGUGGGCACACGGUAGGCAACGCUCUCAGGUGCACUCUCUACAUGUAUGAUUUACAUAAAGAGGCACCAUAUUUUGAGCCAUAAAAAAUAGGGCCCCCCGGGGGGGGGGGGGGGGUGGGAGGUGGGGACGCUUGCAGGCAGGGCAGCAAUGGUGCUUAAUCCGAGCAAUGAUGGAAUAAUUGCUUAUACCAACGCAUUGCAAAAUGUCGCCACUUGGCAGGCAAGUCUGUACAAAAAAAGCCAACUAAGGGUAAAACUAGUUUUUUUUCAACUUGAAAAUUAUUUUCACCAAUCCUUUUGGCCAAUAAAAACCUGUUGGUUUCAAUAGAGUACUCUUUUCUGGCACUUCAUUAAAACAUCUGCAGCCUAAUGCAAGCCUUCCGUGGCUUUCCUUUCUUACCCUCACCUCUACGCUCUUCUUUACUUGUGCAACGUCAGCUAAUUCAGAAGAAGACUUUUACUAGCUCAGGCACUUAUGAGACACGCAUAUGCUUUUCUAUCUAGUGUGGAGGGAAUCCAGUCAGGGCUUUUUGUUUUUUUUUGUUGUUGUUGGUGUUGUUGCUUGCGUUUGUGUUUGUUUUUCUUCCCCAAUUCACACCUUCUGACGCGCUGCUGGAUGGUACAGUCCACGUAUUUUUCCAGGAAACGUCAACAUAGAAGACCAGUGCCAAGUUCUCAGAAAGUUGCUGAGGUCAGUGACCCAGGCUGCCUUCUUUUUUUUUGUUUUUGUGUGUGUGUUGUUUUUCU